AAAAUUAUGGAAAUAGUGUAACUUUUAUAAAAAUUACGGAAGUAGUGUAUUUUCUGGGAACUCGUAACUCUUAUCCACGACUUUACAAAAACUCGUGACUCAUAUAUACGACUUUACAGGAACUUGUGACUUACAUCCAGGAGUUCCAUUUUUUUUUCUCUCUCCUCAAGUGUCGUGGAUGAGAAUCACGAUUUCAAUUUGUCCAAUAUUGGUAUGUCACAUCAAAGUUAAACAUAUAAUAUAUUAGGUAAUAUAGUCUCACUUUUUAUGUCUCAUUGUGUCUUAAUCUAAUUGAAGUUGACACAUACUUAAAAAUAAAAAUUAUAAAAACAAAAAAUAUUUUUUUAUGUUAUUUGAUUGGUUUGGGACAUGAAAACAUGAUUUUUUUUGGGACAAAUUAUCUCGUUCCAUAAGGAAUUUAAGAAUGGACAUGGGAGUCGUGGAUGAGAACCACGAGACUUGAGGAGAGAAAAAAAUGGAACUCGUGCAUGUGAGCCACGAGUUCCUGUAAAGUCAUGGAUGAGAGUCAUGAAUUCCUUAAAAAAUACACUACUUCCGUAGUUUUUAUAAAAGUUACACUAUUUCCAUAAUUUUACAGUCAACCUACACCAACUGAGUAAAUUUUCCGAAGUAGUUCCAUUAUGACAGAUAUUAUUUUAUAUUUAUUUUAUGAAGUUUUGGGGUGCGUAGAUGUACACAUCAUUACCCUCGAAAGCGAAGAGACUGCUUCCAUGACUUGAACCCAUGAUCUCCGGGCCACAAGGCAAACAAUGUUAUCGUUAUGCCAAGGCUCACCUUCCAUCUAGACUACUGGGCCAC
rnacentral:lncRNA from 1 species